UGCGAACGCUAGCGGCGAGCUUAACACAUGCAAGUCGAGCGGAGGGUUUCGGCCCUCAGCGGCGGACGGGUGAGUAACACGUAGGUUACGUGCCCUUUGGUGGGGAAUAACUUAGGGAAACCUGAGCUAAUACCGCAUAUGCCCUUCGGGUGAAAGUCUUCGGACGCCAGAGGAUCGGCCUGCGGCCCAUUAUUUAAUCCUUGUUGGUGGGGUAACGGCCUACCAAGGGUACGAUGGGUAGCUGGUCUGAGAGGAUGAUCAGCCACACUGGGACUGAGACACGGCCCAGACUCCUACGGGAGGCAGCAGUGGGGAAUAUUGGACAAUGGGGGAAACCCUGAUCCAGCUACGCCGCGUGGGUGAUGAAGGCCUUCGGUUGU
rnacentral:rRNA from 1 species